GCCGUAGCUCAGGGACAGAGCAUCUGCCUUGCAAGAGGAGGUCACAGGUUCAAUUCCUGGCAUCUCAA